GUAUAUGUUUGGGGAACACCUUGAAGCUUACUCUUAGGGUAACAGAAAUGCAAAAUACCAUCCCCUGAUUAAAAAAAAAAAGUAAAUUUCCUAUCAUGUUAUUAGAGUGUGUAAUUCAGGUUUGGAUAGCUAAAAUCUGUUGCACAAAUUUGUUGUUCAUUGAUCAUGGUGAUUUGUUUAAUGAUACGUAAAAAGAACAUGCCAAAGCCUUGUAAGAGUUAAAAUGAAAACAACCAUUGUUUAAGGAAGAAGAAAAUCAAAACAAUAUGUAGGUGUAGAUGCACUGUACAGGAAUGUGUCUCAUCAUGUUCAGUAAAUUUAAAACACAUCGAAGUCAGGCAGAAACUAAGCUGGUGAGACUUCGAGCCUUUUUAUUUUGUCUGGGUCGUGUGUUUGUGUGUGUGUGUGUAGGUAUGUGUAUAUAAACACAUGCAUAUGUAUUUCUUCCUUUUAAGGAAACAAACAUAGGUAUUAAGAAGUAAUUGGGGAGUUCCCUUUGUAGCUCAGAUUCGUUAACUACUGAGCCAUGACGGGAACUCCCUGUUGGUUAGUUUUAAAUCAGCCUUCCUCAGAGUAGAACCUAUAACAGAUUUUCAAUUCUGAUAUACUGAAUCAGAACAUCUGGGAGUGGCAGCCCGAGACUGUAUUUUGAAAGAGUUCCCCAAUUGCUUCACAUGUACUCUAAGGUUUGAGAAUCACUAUUUGUCAAAGAGAGAGCCAUUCAGGUUAGAAGACCUGUGUCUGAAAUUUGCCCAUGUUUGAGGGAGGCACUGGCCAUGGUUAAAUUCUUGCUCAAUGCAAAAAGAUUGUCAUGUACCCAGCUCUUUAAAGACAGCUCUCUAAGGAAAAUAUAUUUACCUUUUAGGUAAGUUGUUCAUACUGCCAGCAUUUGCUCCUCGUAUGUCUCAGUAUUUGUCUUAGAUAUUUUUCUAGUCUCAUGAAAUGGAAAUGGCUCCAUUUCUUGGUUGCUAUUUUGUCAAGUCUUUUGUCCACCCACUUACAAGAAAAGGUGUUAUAUGCAGGAUGUCAUAUACUGCUUCCUUCAGGACAGACCCCCUUGUCCUCACUUUUCAAACUUUACUGUUCCUUAUGACCUAGAGGGUGGUAAGUCAUCCACCUGGCUUGAUUCGAGGAGCAGUGACAGGCUCACCUGACUCAACAUUAUUUGAAAAUGUAAUACUUACCAUGGACUACUUACACUGCAUGGAGCAUUUAUCCUAAGAUUCCAAUCAAAGUUCUACAAUCAGUUUUGAUUGGGAAACACUUCAGUUUGAUAUCCAUCUUGGAAAUAAACAGUGCACAUUUAGCAUAGUAAACAUUCUAGGAAAAAGAAAAAAAAAA
rnacentral:lncRNA from 1 species